rnacentral:rRNA from 1 species
GAGAAAGUAAGCAAGGGCAGACGGUGGAUGCCUUGGCUCUCGGAGGCGACGAAGGACGUGAUAAGCUGCGAAAAGCUCGGGGGAGGCGCAAAUAGCCCUUGAUCCCGGGAUAUCCGAAUGGGGCAACCCGGCAGGCUGAAGGCCUGCCAUCCCGUAAGGGAGGCGAACGUGGGGAACUGAAACAUCUAAGUACCCAUAGGAGGAGAAAAUAAACAAUGAUUCCGUAAGUAGUGGCGAGCGAACACGGAAGAGCCCAAACCCAUGUCGUCUAGGC